CUUCUUAUUUCUACACCUUUCUCGUCACUAAGCGCUCAAUCCAGAAGAGGGUUCUUUUGCUGUUGCGAUCUCUUGGUUGUAGCUCUUUUCAUGGGUCAUUUCUCCGAUGGACAUGGCAUUGGGGAUAUCUAUCAUUUGAUGGCAACGCGAUGCCACAAUGGAUUGUAGCAACUGUGAUUUAAUUGAUUAAAUGUUCAGAAAAUAGAAAUAAUGGAUGGAAUUGUGGGAACCAUCCAAAGUCAUGCCAAAAUGGAUUAAUAUGCCUUUAGUUCCACCAACAUAACCCAAACCGAGUCUAGUAUACAAUGUACGGUCUCGGUGAGCUCCUCAGAUGCAGCGGUUACUUCAGCAAUAUCGUAAAAUUGCUUGCACAUA